AUACUUAGUGGCAGACGGGUGAGUAACAUGUAGGUAUCUGCCCUUUGGCCUGGAAUAACACGAGGAAACUUGUGCUAAUACCGGAUAAGUCUUUACGGAGAAAGCUUUAUGCACCAUUGGAUGAGCCUGCACUUGAUUAGUUUGUUGGUGGGGUAACGGCCUACCAAGACUGUGAUCAAUAGCUGAUUUGAGAGGAUGAUCAGCCACAUUGGGACUGAGACACGGCCCAAACUCCUACGGGAGGCAGCAGUGGGGAAUCUUGCACAAUGGAGGAAACUCUGAUGCAGCGAUGCCGCGUGAGUGAAGAAGGCCCUUGGGUUGUAAAGCUCUUUCGUCGGGGAAGAAAAUGACUGUACCCGAAUAAGAAGGUCCGGCUAACUUCGUGCCAGCAGCCGCGGUAAUACGAAGGGACCUAGCGUAGUUCGGAAUUACUGGGCUUAAAGAGUUCGUAGGUGGUUGAAAAAGUUGGUGGUGAAAUCCCAGAGCUUAACUCUGGAACUGCCAUCAAAACUUUUCAGCUAGAGUUUGAUAGAGGAAAGCAGAAUUUCUAGUGUAGAGGUGAAAUUCGUAGAUAUUAGAAAGAAUACCAAUUGCGAAGGCAGCUUUCUGGAUCAUUACUGACACUGAGGAACGAAAGCAUGGGUAGCGA
rnacentral:rRNA from 1 species